GGUUCUCCACACUCUGCCUCCUCAGCUGCACAGACAGCUUUUGCUCUGUAGCUGCAGGAGUAAGGUGAGAGGAACGCAGUAACUCUCCCUCCCCUUCACCCCCUUCCCACCACCAACACACACCCAGUCUAAUUAAAGUCUGUGGUGCCACAAUUGAACUCUUCAUGCUCAGAACCUCUGGUGAAGGGCAAGAGGCCCCCACUGGUUAAAGGAAGGGAGAAUCAAAGGAUUUUUUUCAAGAGAGCAACCAAACAGAAGAUGCCGCUUGUGCUACCUUUGAUUUGGGAAAACAUUUUUUUUUAGUUUUGUUUUAAGAAACAACUACAAAAUGAAGGAAGAGGCUGGUGGUGACUCACGGGCAAAGACCAGCAGAUGGGGGCCCUUGGUGGCACACACAUCCACAUUCUCCCAGGCACAGAAGAGGAGCUCCAAUUGGAAUCAGCUUGACUGGAGCCAUUUCUCUGGCCGUUAUUAGCACAGCUUCACUAUUCUUCACCUCUAAAGAUGAGAGAACUAAAUUAACCUCAGUGGGAAUCAUGCUGUAUGGCAAUUUUCCAAUAGAAAAACAAACUUACGUGAUGUGUUUAUGUAGCACUUUAUAGCCAGGGGUUUGGUGUGAAAAGUGUAAGUUUUGGGAUGAAGGACAAAAGCACGUAUUGAAAUCCCAGCUCUUCCUCUCACUAGCUGGGUACUCUUGAGCAAGUUUUUUAAUCUCUCCAAUCCUCAGUUUUUUCUCACCCAUAAUGAGGGGAUAAUAAUAAUAAUGGCCAGCCAAACAGAAUUUAGAGAAUUUCAACUCAGGUGGAAAUAAUAAAUCACAGUGAGCAUUUACCAUGAACUUACUAUACACAUGCACGUGUAUGUACAUAUAUACACAAAUGCCAGGUACUGGGCAAGCACUUUAGAUGGAUUGGAUUAGCUCAUUAACUGUGACCGCAACUCCACGAACUUGGUACUGUUGUGCUCCUCAUUUUACACAUGUAUAUGCAGCUUGAGACAUGAAACAAUUUCUUUAAGAUGGUCAGGUAUUUAGAAAAUAAUACUUUGCUCAGUUUCUGUUUACAAAGUAUUUGAUCCGUAUCGAAGCAAGUCAGGAGAGAACAGGUCCACCUGCCCGUACCAGCAUCUUGCCUGGAUCUCGUGGCUUUCCUUACUCACUUCAGUAGCCCUUUGGUUCAGGCAUUCUGUGGGUCUGUGGAAUCUUUGAAUCCUUCAGGUCAAGCAGCUAAAGUCAACAUCUGCCUCUCUCUGCCAAUCAUCUUUCUACUCAGCUGACCCAGGGUUACCCCAUUUGUACUGGAAGGUACAAUAUUGAGACUGAUCCUCUGCCCCACCCGAUGAUCUUCACUAAAUGUUAGACAAAGAUAGUCCUACUCUGCCUAGAGAAAAAAAAGGAGUAGCCCCAGGAACACUCCAAACUGUGGGGCUCCAGCAGUGGUAGAGGCAUCAGGCAGACACACUAUCUCUGCCAAGGUCUUUUGAGGGGCACUCAUACAUCACCUAGGUUUACAUUUUCCUCCUAAAAAUCUGCAAAGUUAAAGCGACCUGCAGGGUUAAAGUGACCUAGGCAUCCACAAGUUGCCAUUAGCCUCUAAGUGAGUCCCUGAGCUCAGAGAUCCUGGUCUCACAUUCUCUCCGCUAUACCGUGAAACCUCUCCAUCCCAGCCCUGAACGAUUCUCUACAACAGCAACCAACACUCCUGGGAGUCAACGGGCAGUAAUGACGUGGUAGCAGGAGUAAUGACAACAACAAUGACAAUAAAGGACAUGGACUGACAGUUUGUUCUGUGUCAGGCCCCAUGUUUGAUACUCGAUAUGUAUUAGUUUGUUUAAUUCCUACAGCAACCCUAUGAGGCGAUAACAAACCUAUUAUCCCCAUUUUUACCAUUGGAAAAAAAUAUAGAGACUCAAAAAAUAACUUUCUUAUGGCAUUGCUGAUGCUCUGAAUAUUAUUUAGUGAUACAAAGAAAUGAGCUAUCAAGCCAUAAAAAGACACAGGAACUUUAAAUGCAUAUUGCUAAAUGAAAGAAGCCAAUCUGAAAAGGCUACAUAGUGUGUGGUUCCAACUAUAUCACAUUCUGGGAAAAGCAAAACUAUGGAAACAGUAAAAAGAUCAACGGUUACCAGGAGCUAUUGGGGAGGGAGGGAUGAAUAAGCAGGGUGUGGAGGGUGAAACCUCGCAAGUGCUGAGGCAAGGGUCUGAAGCCUGAGCCUGUUCUUAUAUAAAUAUUGAAUUAGAAAAGAAUUAGAAAUAUAAGCACAUAGUUAUUCCUAUAUAUAAUCAUAUAUAAUCACACAGUUAUUCACCUAUAAUCAUAAAGAUAUAUAUAGUUAACAUAACCUUUUAUUUUACUAAUGAUUAUUGGGUAAUGAAGCAUGAACUAAGGUGACAUUGUGAGCAAAGUGAUCCUAAGGCAAGAGGCUCGAAGCCCUCUGUCACACCCGCAUGAGGGCCCUUCGGCUGUGAGGCAGCACCAGCACUGGGAAAGCCCCCGCUGUUCAGCCAGCUAGGGAAGGAGACAUCCAAAAUGGCCAAGACGUCUCCUAUCUCAGGGGAGUUAGGAGAAAACUCCGCUCCUCCAAGCUCUUGCGGCAGGCCUGACAGCUGUCAGGGAGGCCCACAGACAUCCCAGGACUUAA
ensembl:lncRNA